AGUGAACGCUGGCGGUAGGCCUAACACAUGCAAGUCGAACGGCAGCACAGUAAGAGCUUGCUCUUACGGGUGGCGAGUGGCGGACGGGUGAGGAAUACAUCGGAAUCUACUUUUUCGUGGGGGAUAACGUAGGGAAACUUACGCUAAUACCGCAUACGACCUACGGGUGAAAGCAGGGGAUCUUCGGACCUUGCGCGAUUGAAUGAGCCGAUGUCGGAUUAGCUAGUUGGCGGGGUAAAGGCCCACCAAGGCGACGAUCCGUAGCUGGUCUGAGAGGAUGAUCAGCCACACUGGAACUGAGACACGGUCCAGACUCCUACGGGAGGCAGCAGUGGGGAAUAUUGGACAAUGGGCGCAAGCCUGAUCCAGCCAUGCCGCGUGGGUGAAGAAGGCCUUCGGGUUGUAAAGCCCUUUUGUUGGGAAAGAAAGCAGCAGGUUAAUACCCCGCUGUUCUGACGGUACCCAAAGAAUAAGCACCGGCUAACUUCGUG
rnacentral:rRNA from 1 species